rnacentral:rRNA from 1 species
UACGUAGGCAGCGAGCGUUGUUCGGAAUUACUGGGCGUAAAGAGUGUGUAGGCGGUGCUCUAAGUUCGGUGUGAAAUCUCCUGGCUUAACUGGGAGGGUGCGCCGAAAACUGGAGUGCUCGAGCGUGGGAGAGGAAAGCGGAAUUCCUGGUGUAGCGGUGAAAUGCGCAGAUAUCAGGAAGAACACCCGUGGCGAAGGCGGCUCUCGUGGGACGGUACUGACGCUGAGACGCGAAAGCGUGGGGGAGCGAACAGG